rnacentral:rRNA from 1 species
CCUACGGGGGGCAGCAGUCGAGAAUCAUUCACAAUGGGGGAAACCCUGAUGGUGCGACGCCGCGUGGGGGAAUGAAGGUCUUCGGAUGGUAAACCCCUGUCAUGUGGGAGCAAAUUAAAGAGAGAGUACCACACGCGGCAGAGACGGCUAACUCUGUGCCAGCAGCCGCGGUAAUACAGAGGUCUCAAGCGUUGUUCGGAUUCACUGGGCGUAACGCGUGCGUAGGCUGUUUAGUAAGUCGGGUGUGAAAGGCCCGGGCUCAACCCGCGGACGGCACAUGAUACUGGGAGACUAGAGUAAAGGAGGGGGAACCGGAAUUCGCGGUGUAGCAGUGAAAUGCGUAGAUAUCGAGAGGAACACUCGUGGCGAAGGCGGGUUCCUGGACAUUAACUGACGCUGAGGCACGAAGGCCAGGGGAGCGAAAGGGAUUAGAUACCCUUGUAGUC